UACGACUACAUAUCAGGCAUAUCAAUAAGCGGAGGAAAAGAAACUAGCAAGGAUUCCCUUAGUAACGGCGAGUGAAGCGGGAAGAGCUCAAAUUUGAAAUCUUCGAGGUUUUACCUUGACGAAUUGUAGUUUAAAGAAGUGUUUUCUGUUGGAGUUUUGGUAAAAGUUCUUUGGAAUAGGACAUCAUAGAGGGUGAGAAUCCCGUAUUUGACCAUUAUUUCCAGCUUUGUGAUACACUUUCAAAGAGUCGGAUUGUUUGGGAAUGCAGUCCAAAAUGGGUGGUAAAUUUCAUCUAGAGCUAAAUACUGGCGAGAGACCGAUAGCGAACAAGUGCCGUGAGGGAAAGAUGAAAAGAACUUUGAAAAGAGAGUUAAACAGUACGUGAAAUUGUCAAAAGGGAAGCGUUUGACACCAGUGUUGUUUUCUCGAAAAUCAAUUAAAAAAGAUUGGAUUUUGUGUUGUAUUGACUUUAUCAGCUUUCUGCACUUUUUUCUUGUCUUUUUUAAUGCACUUUUCGUUUAACAAGUCAACAUCAAUUUCUUUUGUUGUAAAAGAGUCAUUGGAAGGUGGCUUUCACUUCGGUGAAAGUGUUUAUAGCCUUUGGCUUCUGCAAUCGGAGAGAUUGAGGUCUGCAGCGUAGAUCCUUCGGGGUUAGAUACGUAGAUGCUAAGUUAUAGUUUUUCAUAGACAACUUGUUGACUAUGAUUAAUCAUGUAGCUUACUCGUUUGCGCUAUUUUACCUACGCUUAGGAUGUUGACGCGCGUGUGUGCGUG
rnacentral:rRNA from 1 species